GGCUCUGUGGCGCAAUGGAUAGCGCAUUGGACUUCUAGGCUGUGAGCUGAGCCAUUCAAAGGUUGUGGGUUUAGUCUCACCAGAGUCG
rnacentral:tRNA from 1 species